UGUGUGUGUGCGUGUGUGUGCACGUGUGUGUGUGUGUGCGCGCGCACACACACACACACACACACACGUACG